rnacentral:rRNA from 1 species
CACGUAGGGCGCAAGCGUUGUCCGGAAUUAUUGGGCGUAAAGAGCUCGUAGGCGGACUGUCACGUCUGCUGUGAAAAGCUGGGGCUUAACCCUGGCCUUGCAGUGGAUACGGGCAGACUAGAGGUAGGUAGGGGAGAAUGGAAUUCCCGGUGUAGCGGUGAAAUGCGCAGAGAUCCGGAGGAACCCCAGAGGCGAAGGCGGCGCUCUGGCUCGCAACUGACGCUCAGACACGACAGCAUGGGGAGCGAACGGG